UUCCUGGAGGAUUAGUGGUUAGGCCUCAGUGCGCUCAUUGCCGCAGCCUGGGUUCGAUUCCUGGCCGGGGAA